rnacentral:rRNA from 1 species
CACGGGUUGCGAGCGUUCGUCCGGAAUUACUAGGCGUAAGGGCAGGCAGGCGGAUCCAUAAGUUUAUCGUUUAAGGCGUCGGCUUAACCGGCGUAGGGCGGUAGAUACUGUGGAUCUGGAAUGCGGUUGGGGAAGACAGAAUUCCUGGUGUAGCGGUGGAAUGCGCAGAGAUCAGGAGGAAUACCGAAGGCGAAGGCAGUCUUCCAAGCCGUUAUUGACGCUCAACUGCGAAGGUGUGGGUAUCAAACAGGAUUAGAUACCCUGGUAGUCCCU